UCACAGGGGCCACGACACGAGGACCACUGCCACUGGCUGCCACAAGCCUGUAGGAGGCCACAUGUCCUCCCCUGCUGGGGUGGAGGGGACACUUACCUCAGCUGUACCCUGUCAGACUACGCCAAGUGUGAGGAGGAUGCUCUGUGGCUAGCGCGGAAUCUGUCGCAGGCUUCGGAAAUUUGGAGAAAAGGGGGUAUCUUUCUGCCAGAAAUGCUAUCUCAAAGAAUUAUGUAAACUUGAAGCUGUUGAGAACUACCAUGUUGAAAGAUCUGCCUGUGGACGAAUCCUGCACAGAAGAGUACAGAGCCCAGGAGAAUACCAUUUGGGAUAGAAAACUGGUCAUUCUUCACCUGCAGAAAAUAUGGAAAGUACUGAAAUCAACCUGGAGAUUAAGGGCCUGACUUGU